UACGUAGGGUGCAAGCGUUGUCCGGAAUUACUGGGCGUAAAGGGCUCGUAGGUGGCCAACUAAGUCGGACGUGAAAUCCCUCGGCUUAACCGGGGAACUGCGUCCGAUACUGGUUGGCUUGAGUUUGGGAGAGGGAUGCGGAAUUCCAGGUGUAGCGGUGAAAUGCGUAGAUAUCUGGAGGAACACCGGUGGCGAAGGCGGCCCUCUGGACGGAUACUGACGCUGAGACGCGAAAGCGUGGGGAGCAAACAGG
rnacentral:rRNA from 1 species